GACGAACGCUGGCGGCGUGCCUAAUACAUGCAAGUCGAGCGGAGUUACAGGAGCUUGCUCCUGUAACUUAGCGGCGGACGGGUGAGUAACACGUGGGCAACCUGCCUAUAAGACUGGGAUAACUUCGGGAAACCGGAGCUAAUACCGGAUAAUUCCUUUCCUCUCAUGAGGGAAGGUUGAAAGACGGUUUCGGCUGUCACUAAUCGAUGGGCCAGCGGCGCAUUAGCUAGUUGGUGAGGUAAUGGGUCACCAAGGCGACGAUGCGUAGCCGACCUGAGAGGGUGAUCGGCCACACUGGGACUGAGACACGGCCCAGACGCCUACGGGAGGCAGCAGUAGGGAAUCUUCCGCAAUGGACGAAAGCCUGACGGAGCAACGCCGCGUGAGUGAUGAAGGUUUUCGGAUCGUAAAACUCUGUUGUUAGGGAAGAACAAGUACGAGAGUAACUGCUCGUACCUUGACGGUACCUAACCAGAAAGCCACGGCUAACUACGUGCCAGCCGCCGCUGUAAUAC
rnacentral:rRNA from 1 species